rnacentral:sRNA from 1 species
GCCGGGCACAGUGGCGCACGCUUGAAAUCCCAGCGGCUCUGGAGGCUGAGGCAGGAGGAUCGUGAGUUCAAAGCCAGCCUCAGCAAAAGUGAAGUGCUAAGCAACUCAAUGAGACCCUGUCUCUA